GCGUUGUUCGGAAUUACUGGGCGUAAAGCGCGCGUAGGCGGACUGGAAAGUUGGGGGUGAAAUCCCGGGGCUCAACCCCGGAACUGCCUCCAAAACUAUCAGUCUAGAGUUCGAGAGAGGUGAGUGGAAUUCCGAGUGUAGAGGUGAAAUUCGUAGAUAUUCGGAGGAACACCAGUGGCGAAGGCGGCUCACUGGCUCGAUACUGACGCUGAGGUGCGAAAGUGUGGGGAGCAAACAGGAUUAGAUACCCUGGUAGUCCACACCGUAAACGAUGGAUACUAGCUGUCCGGAACCUUGAGUUCUGGGCGGCCAAGCGAAAGUGAUAAGUAUCCCACCUGGGGAGUACGUUCGCAAGAAUGAAACUCAAAGGAAUUGACGGGGGCCCGCACAAGCGGUGGAGCAUGUGGCUUAAUUCGAAGCAACGCGCAGAACCUUACCAACCCUUGACAUCCUGUGCUAUAUUUAGAGAUAGAUAGUUCCCUUCGGGGACGCAGUGACAGGUGCUGCAUGGCU
rnacentral:rRNA from 1 species